rnacentral:rRNA from 1 species
UACGGGGGGGGGCAAGCGUUGUUCGGAAUUACUGGGCGUAAAGGGUUUUGUAGGUGGCUCGCUAAGUCAGACGUGAAAUCCCUCAGCUUAACUGGGGAACUGCGUCUGAAACUGAUGAGCUCGAGUGCAGGAGAGGAACGCGGAAUUCCAGGUGUAGCGGUGAAAUGCGUAGAUAUCUGGAGGAACACCGGUGGCGAAGGCGGCGUUCUGGGGUGGAUACUGACGCUGAGGUGCGAAAGCGUGGGGAGCAAACAGG